UACAGAGGCCCCGAGCGUUAUCCGGAAUUAUUGGGCGUAAAGGGUGCGUAGGUGGCGUUGUUAGUCGUUUGUGAAAGCCCGGGGCUUAACCUCGGAAACGCGGACGAAACGGCAAUGCUUGAGUAUAUGAGGGGUGUGCGGAACUCAUGGUGUAGGGGUGAAAUCCGUUGAUAUCAUGGGGAACACCAAAAGCGAAGGCAGCACACUGGCAUAUUACUGACACUGAAGCACGAAAGCGUGGGUAGCGAAUGGG
rnacentral:rRNA from 1 species